UAAGUGGUUUUUCUGAAAACCAUACAUUCUAUAAAUAAAACCAAA
rfam:Schistosoma rodhaini strain Burundi genome assembly, scaffold: SROB_scaffold0006447